rnacentral:rRNA from 1 species
CCCUUAGAUGUCCUGGGCCGCACGCGCGCUACACUGAUGCAUGCAACGAGUUUAUAACCUUGGCCUGAAAGGUCUGGGUAAUCUUUUGAACGUGCAUCGUGAUAGGGAUAGAUUAUUGCAAUUGUUAAUCUUGAACGAGGAAUUCCUAGUAAACGCGAGUCAUCAGCUCGCAUUGAUUACGUCCCUGCCCUUUGUACACACCGCCCGUCGCACCUACCGAUUGAAUUGUUCGGUGAAGAUCUCGGACUUCGAUAUUUAUUCUUUAUUGAGUUUAUAUUGUGGGAAGUUAUCUAAACCUCAUCAUUUAGAGGAAGGUGAAGUCGUAACA